GAUGAACGCUGGCGGCGUGCCUAAUACAUGCAAGUCGAGCGAACAGACGCGGCGCUUGCUCCUCUGACGUUAGCGGCGGACGGGUGAGUAACACGUGGAUAACCUCCCUAUAAUACUGGGAUAACUUCGGGAAACCGGAGCUAAUACCGGAUAAUAUCUUGAACCGCAUGGUUCAAUAGUGAAAGACGGUUUUGCUGUCACUUAUAGAUGGAUCCGGGCCGCAUGAGCUAGUUGUUAAGGUAACGGGUUACCAAGGCAACGAGGGGUAGCCGACGGGAGCGGGGGGUCGCCGGCCCGGGAGCGUGAACGGCGUCAAGGCGACUAAGAGACGGAGCAGAAGGCUACGGGACGCAGUAGUCGAGAACAUGGCGGAAUGGGGGGGAGCGUGAGGUAGAGAUCUUCGGAGCGUGAUACUCUGUUAUGAGGGAUGAACAAAUGUGUAAGUAACUAUACACGUCGUGACGGUACCUGAUCAGGAAGCACCGGCUAACUACGUG
rnacentral:rRNA from 1 species